GUGUAAUUUUUUCUUUUGGUUUUUGUGAAGGAGCACCACGAGAAACACUCCAAUUGGUGGGGUGUGAGCCGUGAGGGGUUCUCGUCUGUAGUGGACGAGGGCCGGGUGCACAACAACAGGCAAUCGCCAGACACACUAUUGGGCCCUGAGACAACACUCGGCCGACUUCGGUUGAAGUGGUGUCCCUCCAUCUUGGUGGUGGGGUGUGGUGUUUGAGUAUUGGAUAGUGGUUGCGAGCAUCUAAAUGAACGCGU
rnacentral:misc_RNA from 1 species